UACGGAGGGGGCGAGCGUUAUUCGGAAUUAUUGGGCGUAAAGGGCGCGUAGGCGGCUCGAUAAGUCAAAGGUGAAAUCCCUCGGCUCAACUGAGGAACUGCCUUUGAAACUGUCGAGCUCGAGUCCGGGAGGGGGUAGCGGAAUUCCCAGUGUAGCGGUGAAAUGCGUAGAUAUCAAGAGGAACACCUGCGGCGAAGGCGGGUUGCUGGGCCGACACUGACGCUGAUGCGCGAAAGCCAGGGGAGCGAACGGG
rnacentral:rRNA from 1 species